GUUCAAUCCCGGGGUUGAAAUUCCAACCCUGCUUCAGCUAGCAGGGUUGAAAUUUCAAUCCCGGAGUUGAAC